rnacentral:tRNA from 1 species
GGAGAGAUGCGAGAGUGGUUGAAUCGGGCGGUCUCGAAAACCGUUGUACUCGCAAGGGUACCGAGGGUUCGAAUCCCUCUCUCUCCG